rnacentral:misc_RNA from 1 species
UACUACAAAUUCAACAGUCGAUUCAGUAGCGGGCGGUCGCUUACAUUUUUACGCGAUUUAUUUCAAAAUUUCACGAUAAUAUCACUAACAACUUGAGUGAAAACUUCAAAAUUAUGACUUAAAUGAAACACCAAACCGAAGCUUACCUAAAUAAUUAUUAGUGCUGCAAAAAGUGACCACUUAAUUAGAUUAAAGUUUUUUUUUUUUCAAUGUUUUGUGUACAGUGCACAGUGGAUGGAUAAAAGUACCUUUUAUAGCAGGAUAGCUUGACAAAGCGGUACUUGGAGGAUUUGAUGCCACCAGCGAAAAAGGAUUGACCCGCCAGCCGCGCAGACAGAAUACCAAAUGGAGAACAAAAAGAAUGUCACAGCAACACAGCAACCCCUCACGCAGCAGCACAUCAUGGCGCACCACGUGCAUCCCGACCAAAUAUACUCCUCUCAACACCCACAGUUACCUGCACACGUAAACAACCAAAUACAGCCGAAGGUUCAGUCCGCGCAAAUUCAACCGAAUGGCGUCAUGCACCAACUAUUGCAAAGUCAAUAUCAAUCGAACAUGAACGCACGAUCGCCGCUCCUAGAAAACAGGCACGAAAUGUAUGGCACCGGACACAAUCACGAUUAUGCGAGACAUUACGGUGCUAACGACAAUUAUAAUUAUCCACAGUCACCACCUCGGCUCGAAAGAACAGAAAUCCAUACUGAUCACAAUGUCAACCAUGAACUAUUGCAUAAUAUUCCAAAAGGAUACAACGCAGAAGUAUAUCAAGACUAUUUAAAACGUAACCCACCGAAAGAUAAUAACCAAAUAUAUCAAAACCAUCAACCUAAUAUUAAUCAAUAUAGACCUAAUGUAAAUCAGUACGGCACGAAGCCGUAUCUUCCCUAUUCGAAUCGAAUAGGGCCCCAAAGUAACACUGAGUUAUUAAGAAAGCAGUACAAUGAAAUACAACAAAUGAAAAUGCAACAGCAAAUGCAUUAUCAGAAUCAGGCUCAAAUGCAUCAACAACAGAAGUUUGCGGAGCGACAAAUUUUAUUACAGCAAAUACAUGGUGUCCAACCACCACCUAACUUACAGAAUAGUAUAUAUUCCGAUAGUUCUUAUAGAGAUCUAGAUCGAUACAGUAGUAAAAAUGACUUUAAGGAAUACAGUAGUACGGAUUUAUCGAAAGACUUCGAUAGGUACGGUAAACAUAAUGAUUACAGUGACCUACAAAAUAGACAAUAUCAAGAGAAUCAUUGGCAAUCAAAUCAAAAUGAUUUCCGGGAAGUAGAUAGGCAGAGACCUGAGCAAGACAAGGCAAAAAGUAACUCUCCGCCAUCAGAUAAUAAUCAAAGAAGUACAGAUAUUAUAUCUCCAAUGAAAUCUAGUGAGUCUAGUACACCUAGUAUAAAGUCACCCUCAUCAGACAGUCGUCGCAGUAGUAGCGGGACUCAGGCAUUGCGAUCUCCAUCUGCCCAACGUAUACCAUCAGCUCCGGUGACUUUGUCUGGGUUGCUAUACAAACAAGGCUCCGAUGGCCUUAAAGUUUGGCGGAAAAGGUGGUUUGUUUUGUCAGAAUACUGUCUAUUCUACUACAAAAGUCAAGAUGAAGAAAAGCUUUUAGGGUCUGUCCUAUUGCCCUCGUAUAAGGUCUCAGCGUGUAGCGCAGAGGACAAAGUGAUGCGGAAGUUUGCGUUCAAACUGGAACAUGCAAAUAUGAGGACAUACGUGUUGGCGGCUUUGGAUCCGGAAGCCAUGAUGAAGUGGGUGAAGGCGCUCACAAUGGCAGCUAUUAUGCAAACAUCCAAUGAGCAGCCACAAAAGCAAAUCGAUCGCGCAGCUGCAAAAACAGAGGAAGGUGAUGAUGCUGGACCUACGUACGCCAAUGCUCCACCUAAGCCCAGACGAGCAAACGAUGGAUAUAAUUCACCCAGCCCAGAUAUGUACGAUCCAAAUUACGAUCUACUCAAAAAACCUGCAUCACACUACAGUCAAGGCACCAGUCAUACUCGAUACCAGGACACAACCUACAGCACAAAACAGGAGAUUUACACACGCAGCCCGCAAUCACCGCCCUCGCAACCAACUUACCAUACGAAAAGACCUUACGACACGCAGCAACUAUCAUUACCAUUAUCCAGGACAGCUUUUGACAAUUCAGAAAAAUCUCCAAACACUCCAUCUAUCAAUAAAUCUAAUCCUCAAUCUCCCUAUUUCGAAAAUAGGUCUAGAAAUCAGCAGCAACACUCUCAAGAAGACAAAAUUGAAAACUUAUAUGAAAAGAAACCUGGUUAUAAUCCUUUUCUUGAAGAUUAUGGACAAAAUAAAAAAGACGAUGAAAGGAGUAGGCCGAUUGAAUCGAAUAAAACAUCCAUUUAUAAUGAAAGCUACCCUGAAUCUCGAACCAAUUCAAAAACUUACGUUGAUGCUAAUGUUUAUGGAAGAGAUGUGUAUGGUGAUGCUAACACAAAGGCAAGUAAAACGAGCACGUUGAAUGAACGACUAGCUGAGAGACGAACACCUGAUGCAUAUGGCAGAUCAACAGCUAUGUCUGCGUAUAACACUGAAAAAAUUGGAGACUAUGAAGAUAUUUAUGCGGCAUACGGAAAUGAUGCUGGAAAAGCAUAUGCAAAGUCCCCAAAUCCCUCGCAAUCCCGGGAUACAAUUAGUUUAUCUAGCCAUAAAUCGCCCCAAGAGCAAGUUACUAACACGAUUCCAGAAAAAACAUUUAGUGGGCCAUCAGUAUUGCGAAGGAAAAAAAUGCAAGCGAGUGGUAUUCAACCCCCGAUGCCACGCCCCCAUAGCGCAGAUUUUCUCGAAUAUGAAUCCAAAAACGAAACUCUUUAUAAUGUGACGCCAACACGAAACACGCACGAUCCACCUAAACAACCACCACGUCCAAAAUCUAGUCUAGACAUAAACUCCUAUUAUGAUCCUAGUUCAGAUAAAUAUUAUUCUGAGGAAAGUUAUGCACAAAAAAUGCGACAAUCGGCACAAUAUUUGCAACAACAGGGCACACGGCCAAGAAAUAUACAAAUACCAUUAGAAAAAUAUGCAAGUGGUCUUGCUGAAAAACAAUUACAUUCCCCUUAUAUGCACCCUAACAAUAAUAACUAUGAAACUGAAUUUAGCAAUAAAAAUAUUCGUGAUAAUGUUAGUUAUAAUUCAAAAUAUAGCGAUCUGGAAGCUUUACAUUCUAAUUGGACAUUGAAAGAAAAAGAUUUGGAAGCCCAAAAAGAUUAUUUAAACAGAAGUGGUAGUGUGAUGAGCGAUGGUUCACAAAUCAGUGCGUAUGUAAAGGAUGUUGGGAAAUUUGAUCCAGGGAUAGAUGGAUUUAUGCGAUCCGCAAGCGCUAGGUUGCCAUCAUCUGCUGAAAGAGAAGGAGAAAAGAAAGUACAACAGCGUGAAGAAUCAAUGAAAAGACUGCUUGAAUGGAAGCAGAGAAUGUUACAGUCUCCACUGACAAGGAAGAGUACUCCAGCUGCUAUUUCAUUAAAUAGAUCAUUGAAUCAAAGUCGCCAAUCAUUAAGAUCUGACCAGUACAAACCUAAAACUUAUAAAAAUGCUUCAUAUAACAGCUAUUCUUCAGAUGAUGAAGCUUCUAUGACAAUGUCAGGCACAAAUAUAGAACCAGGCUCAAAGAAUAAUAAUAACAAUAACCAAAUAAACCAGCAAACUUUGUCAAAAAAAGCAUUUCUUGGAAGUAACACGUCGAUUGGUAGAAGUAAUAGGGAUGGUACUAUACCAGUAAGAGCUGUAAGCCCUAGAGUAAGAUGGGUUGAAGAAAAACCAACGAAUGAACAUUGUUCGCAACCGAUCACAGCAUCACAACAAAAUUUGAAUACAUUAACGGGUUCUGAGGAUGUAUGGACGACAGUAAGGUCACCAUCGAGAACUUUACAACAACCGAUAAGAGCCGUUAGUCCUAGGAUUAGAAGAAACAAUAACAACGACAACAACGAUACGCGUAAGGAGGUCCAUAAUCAAGAAUCAAGUGAAAUACCAACGGCCGGUGAGCUUUUGGGAAGAAGUCACGAGGAGCUAGUUUUGCUCUUGAUUCAAUUAAGAAGACGUCACGCAGCAACUCAUCGUUCUAUUGAGCAAUGCUGUGUUCAGAUUAGUAGUAUAGAGGAUUGUCUAAGUUCACUCAAAGCCAUUGAACGGGAAGAAAACUUACAACGUUUGGAACAGUUGAAGACUCAACUCAUGGAGUUAGAGAACCAUUAUGAAAAAAGUAAGCCGUUAGUGCAAUUAGUUGAUAAUAUGGUGAAACUUGGAUCUUUGUAUAAUAGACCCGGUUCUACGAUAGAACGAUUGGAGCGAAAUCAGAGGCUGAGACAAAAAGUUCUCGCAGAACAUGCUAUGGAACAACAAAGAUGGCUCGAAAGUGCCGCAGCAGGCAAACCCUUAGAAACGGAAGCUGCACGAGUCAGAGUUGCUGAACUAUGGGCAUUGGAACAGGAACUAGCAGACGAGGCAGCCAUUCUUCAAGGUCUUAAAACAGACAAAGAUGCUAUUGACUCAUUGUUGACAGGUGUUCGCAGUAAGCUGGACAGCGUAAACAUUGGUUCCCGAGCUCAGCCUUCAGGCUUGGAGGCGGAGUUGGCGCGAGUGCAUGCCAUGCUGGCGCACAAUUCUAAGGUUUAUAAGAAACUAGAGCAAACGGUAGCGGACAAUGCACGUUUGGAAAGGGAACUGCAUCACCUCCGCCGCGCCCUGCGAGCUCAGCGCGCUAACAUUCAUGCCCAAGCUUCGCAUAACAUGCCACCAUCGCAUCCCACUGCUAUGCUAGAGGAUGAAGUGACACGAGUACAACAGUUGGUGUCAGCACUACAGCGUCAGCGGCAAGAGCUCAGCCGCGCGGUGCGUCACCUCACGCAGCAGUCCCACGCCUUGCAGAUCACUCAUGAUUCUAUGCCUGGCAAACGUCGUCCAAUGUCGUCUUGGCAAGAAACGAAUCUGGACACAGGCCAUACUAUCGACCACGGGCAAUCCGACUAUGACUACGACUCGCAAGGACCAGUAAUGCCCCCGGGACACUAUCCACCGAGCGUGGAGACACCGCUGUAUGUUGAUACUAGAGCACCCGGCAUGGAUGUCGCGUCACCAAUAAACAGCGAGGACAUGCAACACACUGCUUUUGGUAACCUCACUAAUGUAGAAAAACAAGAGAUCAAAACAGUGCGAAUUGUGAAACGGGAAAGCGAAAGGCGACAAAGAGAUCGCGACCGGUCUUUACAACCAUUAUCCGAUUGGUCCAGCAACCAUAUCACUGCCAACAUAGAUCAAUUUUUAGAAGAAGAAUUAGUGCAACCAAUUAAUAACUACAGAGCGUCUUCUUUACCUAGAACUGAGUAUAGCAAAUAUGAAGAAUAUUAUUCCAAGCCUCAAUACGCAGAUUCUGUAAAUUAUAUCGGGCUGAACGAAAAGAACAUGCAACAGAGUCCUAAAUAUCCCUCAAGCCCUUCUUUGUCUAAUUAUGAUUAUUCAAGAGAUAUUUCAUCUUUAAGCAGUAGCUAUCACAAAACUUAUGACAGAUCUGCUGGUUAUGAUCGUACUAUAUCUCUGUCAACCCAAUAUCUCAAUAGCCCAACAGAUAGUUCAAGGACUUUGACUAACGAUCCCAUGUCAAAAACGAGCAGUAUUGUAAGCUUAACGAGAUCCAAUAUGGAAUUGUCUCCUAUAUUUAAAAGUGAAGCUGCUAAACAAAUUAUUACGGAGGUGUCAGGAGAGCCUAAAAAUGGCUCUUUACAUAGACGACAAGUACCAAAAGAGAAGAGGAGGCACUAUACCGCACCGCACCAUUUGAGCGCCAAAACUCUUAAUGAAAUGCCUAAGGAUGCUUACAAUCAAGAUGCUCUGGGAAGGUCACUGGACGACGCAGACAUGGAACGUGCACUUCGCGGCGCUGCACCAGAUGUGGUGCGCUCGGCUCUUCCAGCGAGAAGGUUACCAGACUCCAUAGAUCAGCUCUUGGCUGCUCCUCAGAAGAUUAUUAUACCAGAACGAUACAUUCCUGAGAAGCCUCCAGAACUAUCUCCGGAAGAACAGCAGAAACGUCAAGAGAAAGUCGAAUCAAUUAAAAAGAUGCUCUCGAGUUCUUCUGCUGACCCUAGCAAGAGCCCAGACGGACAGGAGAAGCGUCAGCGCGAGCACUUGCUCCAGAUGAACCAGAUCCUUGCCAAGCAGGUCACCGAGAUGAGCAAAAUUAUAGCUGGAACCAACACCGAUGGACCGUCCAACGCAAACAACUAAUCACCGCCCAAUACCCUAGCAUCCUCUAAUUCCACGUACAAUUUAGCCAAAGACACUGUUUUAGUAAAAUCAUACGUCAUUUAAUGACAUUAACCAUUAUUCACACAAUACCUACAAUCCAUAUCUAGUACUUUAUCCCAUUCCUGAACUAGCGGUCUUGAAGAUUCAUCCAGUUUGCAGCAUGGUUUCCGUUUUUAUUUUGCAUUUUCUUUUAAAGCAUUAGAAGAACUACCUCUGCAAGAUAAUAUGGAAGACUACGAAGAUCGUUCACCAGACGUCGAACUGCCAAUAUAUCAACAGAG